CACGUAGGGGGCAAGCGUUGUCCGGAAUCAUUGGGCGUAAAGAGCGUGUAGGUGGCUCGGUAAGUCCGCUGUGAAAGUCCAGGGCUCAACCCUGGAAAGCCGGUGGAAACUGUCGAGCUCGAGUCCGGAAGAGGCGAGUGGAAUUCCUGGUGUAGCGGUGAAAUGCGCGAUAUCAGGAGGAACACCAAUGGCGAAGGCAGCUCGCUGGGACGG
rnacentral:rRNA from 1 species